rnacentral:rRNA from 1 species
UACAGAGGGGGCAAGCGUUGUUCGGAAUUACUGGGCGUAAAGGGCGCGUAGGCGGCCUGUUAAGUCAGACGUGAAAUCCCUCGGCUCAACCGGGGAACUGCGUCUGAUACUGGCGGGCUUGAAUUCGGGAGAGGGAUGUGGAAUUCCAGGUGUAGCGGUGAAAUGACGUAGAUAUCUGGAGGAACACCGGUGGCGAAGGCGGCAUCCUGGACCGACAUUGACGCUGACGGCGCGAAAGCCAGGGGAG